rnacentral:rRNA from 1 species
GUCUUUUUGAUCAUAAUUUAAAGUCUAAUCUGCCCACUGAUUUUUAAAGGGCCGCAGUAUUUUGACUGUGCUAAGGUAGCAUAAUAAUUAGUUUUUUAAUUGAAAGCUGGAAUGAAUGAUUGGACGAGAAAAUAGCUGUCUCAAUUUAAUUGAUAAAGAACUUUAUUUUUAAGUUAAAAAGCUUAAAUAAAUUUAAAAGACGAGAAGACCCUAUAGAGUUUAAUAAUUUUAUUAUUUUAAAAUAUAUAGAAUUUUUCUUUUUUUUUAAUAAAAUUAUUUUAUUGGGGUGAUAUAAAAAUUUAACAAACUUUUUAUAAAUUUAAACAUUAAUUUAUGAUUUAAUGAUCCAAUAUUUUUGAUUAUAAGAUUAAAUUACCUUAGGGAUAACAGCGUAAUUUUUUUUAAGAGUUCUAAUCGAAAUGAAAGAUUGCGACCUCGAUGUUGGAUUAAAAUUAAUUUUUGGUGUAGAAGCUAAAAAUUUUAGGUCUGUUCGACCUUUAAUAUUUUACA